GCAUAUCAAUAAGCGGAGGAAAAGAAACCAACAGGGAUUGCCCUAGUAACGGCGAGUGAAGCGGCAACAGCUCAAAUUUGAAAUCUGGCUUCGGCCCGAGUUGUAAUUUGCAGAGGAAGCUUUAGGCGCGGCACUUUCUGAGUCCCCUGGAACGGGGCGCCAUAGAGGGUGAGAGCCCCGUAUAGUUAGAUGCCUAGCCUGUGUAAAGCUCCUUCGACGAGUCGAGUAGUUUGGGAAUGCUGCUCAAAAUGGGAGGUAAAUUUCUUCUAAAGCUAAAUACCGGCCAGAGACCGAUAGCGCACAAGUAGAGUGAUCGAAAGAUGAAAAGCACUUUGAAAAGAGGGUUAAAUAGCACGUGAAAUUGUUGAAAGGGAAGCGCUUGUGACCAGACUUGCGCCGGGCAGAUCAUCCGGUGUUCUCACCGGUGCACUCUGCCCGGCUCAGGCCAGCAUCGGUUCUCGCGGGGGGAUAAAGGCCCUGGGAACGUAGCUCCUCCGGGAGUGUUAUAGCCCGGGGCGUAAUGCCCUCGCGGGGACCGAGGUUCGCGCAUCUGCAAGGAUG
rnacentral:rRNA from 1 species